rnacentral:misc_RNA from 1 species
GUGAAGCUCUGAGACUGUGUAAAGAAAGGAAAAGAUUUAUAAAACAAGCAGUUGAUUCUAGGUAUGCAUUAGCAGCUGCUCAUGUUUCGUAUGUUGAAUCUUUGAGAAAUAUAGGCAUUGCUCUUAGGAGAUAUGCGGAGGCUGAAGUGUUGAUAGAAUCAUCUCUAUCAACUUCAGCUACUGAGCUUGAUAAAACUCCGUCACACUCGUCGUAUCCAUCACCUUCACCAUCUCACGUUGGUGGGGUUUCAGAUUCUCCUGUUCUAAAUGGAAGCCCCCUUUCACCUCCUAUUGCUACUAGGUUGAGUUACAUGAGGUCUGCUGGACCUACUGCUGUCACUGUUAAGGUGAGUCCAUCUUCAACCAAUAUGUACGUAGAUGAUGUUGAUUUCUCAACCCCAUUACCCCCACCCCCGCCUCCAGAUUCAGGGUCUUGGGAUUUUUUUGACCCUACAGAUAAUGAGAGCUUUA